rnacentral:rRNA from 1 species
UACGUAGGGUGCGAGCGUUGUCCGGAAUCAUUGGGCGUAAAGCGCGUGUAGGCGGUUCGGUAAGUCCGCUGUGAAAGUCGGGGGCUCAACCCUCGAAAGCCGGUGGAUACUGUCGAACUAGAGUGCGGAAGAGGCGAGUGGAAUUCCUGGUGUAGCGGUGAAAUGCGCAGAUAUCAGGAGGAACACCCGUGGCGAAAGCGGCUCUCUGGGACGGUACUGACGCUGAGACGCGAAAGCGUGGGGAGCAAACGGG